CUUCCUCUUAAAUCGCUCCUAACCUAAUUAUCCUUCUCGUAGCCGACCUCCUCUCUCGAGCAAGUUGUGCACCUCGCAUGGCGGUGAGGACACCUGGGCCACGGCAGCAAGGACGCUUGCGGCCGCUUCAAAGCGGCCAUUGAAUCCAUGUUUUUAAAUCCACCUGUGCUCCACCACCAUCCACGACCUCCUCCGGAACCACAGCCACAACCUCCCUAACGCGCUACUCCCCAAGUCUGUCAACUGCUUCUCCUACGACGACGCCUCCUGUCACCUCGAGGUCCGACUCUAUGGCCCCUACUAUGCGCACUAUGAAGACGAGCUCACCUACUUUGACAGAACCUCAACUACGGCACACUCCGCAAGGUGAUUGAGUGAGCGCAGGAGGAGUUGUUCCUUUAAUUCCCGGUCAAGGGGAUCAUGGUCAUCGAUCCCGGCUCUGGUGUGAUCCUCCUUCGCCUUCGACAUGCCGCCAGAAUGCCGCCCGGAAGUGGAAGAAGCGACCGCAGGAAUAGGUGAGUUGGCCAGAUUGAAAAUGAAGUGAUCUUGCUGGGUGACAUUUCCUUUCGUGUUGGAUUAGGGAUUGAUUUUGAUGCGAUUGUUGCUGCAUUUGUUGACUAUUGGAUGUUCGACAUCUACCAAUGUGCCAUUUUCUUGAUUAAUAUCCCGUUUCUUCUGCUUAGUUGAUUCUGGUUUUAGUCUGCAUUUCCUUUUGUAAGUUUUGGCUUUUGCUUCUCCAAAUCCGUUGAGUUCCACACACUAGAACCUUGCUUACAAGCAAUUGCUUAAUUAUUUUGCUUCAUUUCACUGUCAAUAGCAUGCCAACUUGCUUGCCAAAGGCUUGGAUACUAGUUCAACUUGUGUCCUCCAUUUCUGUCACAAGAUUUCUAGAUACUGUAUUAAAUUAGUUACUGAGACCAUUUUGCAAUUGCAAUCUCUUACUUAUGGUUAUAUUUCCUCUUGAGUUGUGUAGUCCUUGUCUUUAGUUGUGUUCCUUUCCUGUGUCGGAUGUGUGGCUUUGUUCUUUGCUACUUCAAGUACGAGUAAUUUUUCAUCAGUAUUCUAGUUAAACUCAUUGAAUGUGUCAGGUGUAUGUUUUCUUAUUGCAAAGGAUUUAUUUUCAACUUCCAAAUCUCUCUAAUCACCAAAAGAAGCGGUAUCAGAGAGUUCGUGGACAAUAAAUCGGUUUGAGUUAGUGAACAAGAAAGAGAAAAAUCAAAUGUUGAUGACUACUCUACUAAUUCUUCAUUCAAUCUUCAAUCAUGAUGUGAUGUGGCGGGCGACAAAUUUUCUACUGCGAUGUGAUGGGUGACUCAUGUAAGGGGAGGGUGUAUGAACUUGAACGCGAUCGAUAGUUUGGAAGAUCAAACAAUUAAAGUUUCAACAGAUUUGCUCUAAUAAGAAGAAUAAAGAAUCAUCACAAGAAAUUGAAGACAUGCAUGUUACUAGCAAGAGGGCGGAGGGAGAAAUUAUUAAAAGGAAAAGAAAAUUGGAAUCGUAAUGUGUGAUUGCUUUUAUCUCGAGACGAUGUGAAUGUUUAUUUAUCUUAAUGGUAAUCAUAUUGUACUUUUAGAUUUA